CAGCUGGAUUUCCAUUUCAUUCAGAUCCCCCUCCAUCUUCUUCUUGACUCUCAGAGCAUCGUAAGAGCAGACGUCUGA